CAGGCCCCGCCGUGGGUGAGGCUGGGCACCCGGCCGCGGAGGGCGAGCUCGUCCCCCACCCCAGGCUCGCGGGGUGAACCUCGCGCGGCGCGUGCCACUGGGGUCCCAGUGAGUCCAAGGAUCCAGCACAGCCACCUUUGCCACUCAUAGACGGUGAGGUUUCAUCAUCACCUUUGACUCCUGACUCGUGGUGUUAGCAUUUGAUCUUGUAGUACCCUUGGAGAACAUCACUGAGUGAACCAAGGAGCCUGUAAG